CCUACGGGAGGCUGCAGUGGGGAAUAUUGGACAAUGGGGGCAACCCUGAUCCAGCCAUGCCGCGUGUGUGAAGAAGGCCCUCGGGUUGUAAAGCACUUUCAGUGAGGAAGAACGCCUGGUGGUUAAUACCCAUCAGGAAAGACAUCACUCACAGAAGAAGCACCGGCUAACUCCGUGCCAGCAGCCGCGGUAAUACGGAGGGUGCGAGCGUUAAUCGGAAUUACUGGGCGUAAAGCGCGCGUAGGUGGCUUGAUAAGCCGGUUGUGAAAGCCCCGGGCUCAACCUGGGAAUGGCAUCCGGAACUGUCAAGCUAGAGUGCAGGAGAGGAAGGUAGAAUUCCCGGUGUAGCGGUGAAAUGCGUAGAGAUCGGGAGGAAUACCAGUGGCGAAGGCGGCCUUCUGGACUGACACUGACACUGAGGUGCGAAAGCGUGGGUAGCAAACAGGAUUAGAUACCCUUGUAGUC
rnacentral:rRNA from 1 species